GACGAACGCUGGCGGCGUGCUUAACACAUGCAAGUCGAACGGAAAGGCCCUGCUUUUGUGGGGUGCUCGAGUGGCGAACGGGUGAGUAACACGUGAGUAACCUGCCCUUGACUUUGGGAUAACUUCAGGAAACUGGGGCUAAUACCGGAUAGGAGCUCCUGCUGCAUGGUGGGGGUUGGAAAGUUUCGGCGGUUGGGGAUGGACUCGCGGCUUAUCAGCUUGUUGGUGGGGUAGUGGCUUACCAAGGCUUUGACGGGUAGCCGGCCUGAGAGGGUGACCGGCCACAUUGGGACUGAGAUACGGCCCAGACUCCUACGGGAGGCAGCAGUGGGGAAUAUUGCACAAUGGGCGGAAGCCUGAUGCAGCAACGCCGCGUGCGGGAGGACGGCCUUCGGGUUGUAAACCGCUUUCGCUGUGACGAAGCGUGAGUGACGGUAAUGGGUAAAGAAGCACCGGCUAACUACGUG
rnacentral:rRNA from 1 species